GACAGAGGGUGCAAACGUUGCUCGGAAUUACUGGGCGUAAAGCGCGUGUAGGCUGAUUCGUGUGUCGGGCGUGAAAUCCCCGGGCUCAACCCGGGAACUGCGUCCGAUACUGGCAGGCUUGAAUCCGGGAGAGGGAUGUGGAAUUCCAGGUGUAGCGGUGAAAUGCGUAGAUAUCUGGAGGAACACCGGUGGCGAAGGCGGCAUCCUGGACCGGUAUUGACGCUGAGGCGCGAAAGCCAGGGGAGCAAAGCGGG
rnacentral:rRNA from 1 species